rnacentral:tRNA from 1 species
UACUCGAUGACUGAAAAGUAAGUAUAGAUCUUUUAAAUCUAAAAUAGUAAUUUUACACCUACUUCGAGU